GAUGAACGCUGGCGGCGUGCCUAAUACAUGCAAGUCGAGCGAACAGACGAGGAGCUUGCUCCUCUGACGUUAGCGGCGGACGGGUGAGUAACACGUGGAUAACCUACCUAUAAGACUGGGAUAACUUCGGGAACCCGGAGCUAAUACCGGAUAUUAUAUUGAACCGCAUGGUUCAUUAGUGAAAGACGGUUUUGCUGUACCUUAUAGAUGGAUCCGCGCCGCAUUAGCUAGUUGGUAAGGUAACGGCUUACCAAGGCAACGAUGCGUAGCCGACCUGAGAGGGUGAUCGGCCACACUGGAACUGAGACACGGUCCAGACUCCUACGGGAGGCAGCAGUAGGGAAUCUUCCGCAAUGGGCGAAAGCCUGACGGAGCAACGCCGCGUGAGUGAUGAAGGUCUUCGGAUCGUAAAACUCUGUUAUUAGGGAAGAACAAAUGUGUAAGUAACUAUGCACGUCUUGACGGUACCUAAUCAGAAAGCCACGGCUAACUACGUG
rnacentral:rRNA from 1 species